rnacentral:rRNA from 1 species
CAAUAGCGUAUAUUAAAGUUGUUGCAGUUAAAAAGCUCGUAGUUGGAUUUCUGGUAGGAGUGACCGUGCCAGACUUGAUUGUCUGUGUAUUGUGUUGUCUCCAGCCAUCCUUGUGGAGAACUUUUCUUGCAUUAAUUUGUAGGGAUUGGGACCCGCAUCGUUUACUGUGAAAAAAUUAGAGUGUUUAAAGCAGGCAAUCGCUUGAAUACAUUAGCAUGGAAUAAUAAGAUAGGACUUUGGUACUAUUUUGUUGGUUUGUAUACCAAAUUAAUGAUCAACAGGAACAGUUUGAGGAUAUUCGUAUGAACAUGUCAGAGGUGAAAUUCUUGGAUUCUGAUCAGACGAACUACUGCGAAAGCAUUUAUCAAGGAUGUUUUCAUUAA